AAACGUUAUGUAUGGCGCUGUCUUCUUCUUGGGGGCCGGUAUGACCGUCCCGGCUGUGGCAAUAUUUGGAUGGAUGUAUUUCGAGCAGCGCGAGGACAAUAAGCAAGUGGAAGAAAUGGAGAACGUAAAUAAGGACGUUUAGUGAUUUUUGAUAUAACCUAAAACUAAUUUACAGUGACUAAAAAUGCAUUAAAUAAUAAAACUUGA